GAGAGGAGAGGAGUUUGGGAGGAAUGGACGAGGCAGCCUCGUCUCGGCGUCCCAAUAUAUAGAAAAGGUUUCGUCGUAAACGCGACGUAAUAUUACGACGAAGUUACCAGGCCCGCGUUUUUUCAUUUACGACGAAGUUACCAGGCCCGCGUUUUUCGAUUUACGACGAAAUUACGUCGAAACAUCGGUUUACGACGAAUUUACCAGGCCCAC
rnacentral:lncRNA from 1 species